AGGGGCAUAAAGCAGCAAUCGGAUCAUUUUAGCUCCUAUGGUAGAAGGAGAGCUCCACUUCUACAAAACACAUAUAGCUAAGAAUCCCUCAGACAUAGAAAAAGAGUUAAGUUACUGGAUAGCCAAAACAUUGCUUCAUAGACUUAUGUCAACCCAUUGACCAUAUGUAAAUAUUUACAUAUACACUUUCUGCCUCUCUUGUCAAUGAGUAGGUUUUCGCUACCUAAAUAUGCAUUUUUUAUCUUUCCCUUUGUUCUUCGGACAUGCUUUGCUUCUAGAGGUGUACAUACAUCCUAUUUUGCACUUUGCAAAAAUACAGGCAUAUGGUAUCAAGCAACCACUAAAGCUACAGAAUUAACAUUUGUUUGAAAUUUUCCAUAAGAAAUUUCAGAUAGGACUUUUAAAAGCCUCUGUUUUUGGUGUUGCAGGUAUUACAGGGCUAGUAAAUCAAA
rnacentral:lncRNA from 1 species